rnacentral:rRNA from 1 species
AGAGUUUGAUCCUGGCUCAGAACGAACGCUGGCGGCAGGCUUAACACAUGCAAGUCGAACGCAUCCUUCGGGGUGAGUGGCAGACGGGUGAGUAACGCGUGGGAACGUGCCCUUCAGUUCGGAAUAACCCAGGGAAACUUGGGCUAAUACCGGAUACGUGCGAGAGCAGAAAGAUUUAUCGCUGAAGGAUCGGCCCGCGUCUGAUUAGCUAGUUGGUGAGGUAAUGGCUCACCAAGGCGACGAUCAGUAGCUGGUCUGAGAGGAUGAUCAGCCACAUUGGGACUGAGACACGGCCCAAACUCCUACGGGAGGCAGCAGUGGGGAAUAUUGGACAAUGGGCGCAAGCCUGAUCCAGCCAUGCCGCGUGAGUGAUGAAGGCCUUAGGGUUGUAAAGCUCUUUCGUCCGGGACGAUAAUGACGGUACCGGAAGAAGAAGCCCCGGCUAACUUCGUGCCAGCAGCCGCGGUAAUACGAAGGGGGCUAGCGUUGUUCGGAAUCACUGGGCGUAAAGGGCGCGUAGGCGGCUUGAUAAGUCGGGGGUGAAAGCCUGUGGCUCAACCACAGAAUUGCCUUCGAUACUGUCUGGCUUGAGACCGGAAGAGGUAAGUGGAACUGCGAGUGUAGAGGUGAAAUUCGUAGAUAUUCGCAAGAACACCAGUGGCGAAGGCGGCUUACUGGUCCGGUUCUGACGCUGAGGCGCGAAAGCGUGGGGAGCAAACAGGAUUAGAUACCCUUGUAGUCC